CCUAAAUGCCGGUUCCUCAGGAGCCCUCACAGCGACACCUCCGCCUCCGUCCCCGAGGCCAUCCCCCUUCCCUGGCGGGCUGAGGGUCACCAAAGCCCUCCUGUCACUUUCCCUCUGCUUCCCCUGGCCCUGCUUGGAGAGCUUGGCCAGCAGCCUGGCUCUGCAGCUCAGGGUGGGGGCUGUGCCCUGGCACCCUCCCUCUGAGGUGCCGUCCCUCCCCUGCCUCAUUUGCUGCCGCUGACCUUACCGAGUUAAAUUAAAAAGCAAUGUUCUGUGUGCGGCUCCAGCCCCGUGGAGCUUGACUCUGGGAAGACGAAGACAAUUACCGGCCCCUCCGUCUCCCUCUCGUCUGGCUGCCUUAUAAUUUUUUCCCCUGCUGCCUGGUGGCUUCCCUGGUAUCUCCAUACUUCGCCUGUAGGUCCACUUUCACUCAUCUUCAGUGAAAGCAGGAAGGGCCCAAGGACCACCCUGCAUAACAAAGUUGAAGGAAACAGGAAUGCUCAAAAGCACUGCCCAUCUCCGACCCUGCCGUUCACAGCUUCCUCACCUGGGAUUGUUGCUCAGCGUCCAUGGAUGGACUUCAGAGGCGUGUGUGACAUUUUCCUGAGGUUGGCUGGACAGAAGACACAAUUCUUGAGGUUCAAGGAACUGCUAAAGGAGAACUGUGGCCCCCACGAGUCUGUAUCUUCAAGAAGUCUGUGGAUAGAAAGAAGCAGCAGAAGCUGGAGAUCCUUCUUACCGGUGGCAAGAGCUUGGAAAACUCCCUCAGACGCUCAUUCGCCUCCACGAACAAACAGCCUGGAUUCCCUGCUGGUCGGCUGGACCAGGAAGAAAGGGUGGGAGCUAGUCAGCCAUGGAUCUUAAGCUCCAGCUGUUUGAGAAUAUGUUUCUUUUCUCUUGCCCUCUCCCUCGUCUCAUCUUUUCUAUCCUUCACCCGGUUCUCCUAAUCCUUCGAAAGAGAGGCACAAGGUUUUCUUCUCCCCAGAGCAACCAGAGAGAGAAAGCAAAAAAGCUUUCGCUCCAAGGAACUCUGCUCCUGUUUUAUGGGGUUUGUCAAUAACGUUCCUUCACUAAGAUAGCAUCUCAGCAGAAUGAAAGAGCCCUCUGCUCUUCGUGAAAAGAGCUGUUUUCUCUUGGGGGUGUGGGGGGGUCAUUAAAUAAACCUGUUUUUUAAAAAAGUACCUCUGAAACAAGGAAAUGUGUUAUUAUUGUAAUUGUCUAAUGCUAAUUAUACUUAUUACUAUAAUAACCAUUUGGUUGUAACAAA
rnacentral:lncRNA from 1 species